AAAUAAGCUAAUGAAAGCAACAACCUAACGGGAGGAGAAGAAGAAGAUCGGAAAGACAAUCAAUCCAGCAUCAUCUGUCAAAGGAGGAAUGCUGAGGAAUGCAGCAAAGUACAGAACUAGCAAGACAUAAGCCACAUAAUGAAUGUAUUAUUUACAAGUUGAAAACAAGAACAAUGUAUUUGAUUGAUCAUCUGAUUAUCUUAUUUACUUGUUUGAUUUGAAA
rnacentral:lncRNA from 1 species